rnacentral:tRNA from 1 species
UCUCGGGUAGCUCAAUUGGAAGAGCCAGUGGCUGUUAGCCACUUAGGUUGGGGUUCGAGUCCCUCCCGAGAA